rnacentral:tRNA from 1 species
ACCCCAGUGGCGUAACUGGCAAACGCACCAGCCUAAGAAACUGUUUUUUCUGAGUUCGAAUCUCAGUUGGGGUA